rnacentral:pre_miRNA from 2 species
UAGGUAGUUUCAUGUUGUUGGGGUUGGCUUUUAACUCGGCAACAAGAAACUGCCUUAA